GACACAUCCGAGUAUCCUUCACAGCCUUCAGUAUCCCAGCAUGCACUGCGCGUCGGCAGUCAGAUGUUCGAAAACACGGAGCAAAAAGCCCGUCCGGAGAGCAGAGAAAAACAUCCUCCAGUAUGAGGACACAGCACACUGCAGGGGCCACAGAACUGUUGGCUGACAAGAUGCUUGUGAUUCAUAAAAUGGGUCAAAUGCAGAUGACAAAGUAAAGCCAACACUGAGCUGGAGGUGCUGACCCAGACUCCUGCCAACGAUUAGGUUUUCACUCUGCAGGACAGAACUUUGAAUCCAUCAGACGUAAUGCCCAUUCUGCUCUUCCUCCUCCAGAAGACAAGAGACACAUCAGAUUGAGUGGUCCAAGUCCACUAUCCAUGUCUCCAAUUUCCAUGUCCAGAGUCUCUGAGGAGGAGGUCCAAAGUCUUAUAUGAUCUGAACAAGUGUGUGAGACAGAAAUGAAAACAUCUGUUCAUAAGUUUUUCUGAAUGUUUUUCAGUCUGUACUGACAUUUGAUUUAUGGUGAAAUGUGCUGUUUAUUUGGUGUCUCUUUUGAUAGUAACUAAUUACAUGUACUAUAAGAAUGUACUAUUGUACUGCAGAUAAGCUGUGGUGUUCCACAUGAUCAUAUCUGGCAAAGAUAAUUUGUUCAUUUUUGAUUGUCACUUGCUUCAGCAAAAAGGGAACACAAUGAGA